rfam:Brachypodium distachyon strain Bd21 chromosome 2, whole genome shotgun sequence.
GUUCUACUCACUCCGUCCAACAAAGGAUGUCUCAACUUUAACUAAAUUUGAAUGCAUCUAUACACUAAGUCAUGUCUAGAUACAUCCAAAUUUUGACAAACUUGAGACAUCUUUUGUUGAACGGAGUGAGUAUAUC